rnacentral:rRNA from 1 species
GACGAACGUUGGCGGCGUGCCUAAUACAUGCAAGUCAACUGAAAUACCGGUAGCAAUACUGGUAUGGAGGUGGCGCACGGGUGAGUAACACGUAGGUAAUCUGCCUUCAGGUCUGACAUAACCCAUCGAAAGGUGAGCUAAUAUCAGAUGAUGCAGCGGCUUGACAUCAAGACAGUUGUUAAAGCUUCGGCGCCUGAAGAUGAGCCUGCGUCUGAUUAGCUAGUUGGCGGGGUAACGGCCCACCAAGGCUGCGAUCAGUAGCUGGUCUGAGAGGAUGAUCAGUCACAUGGAACUGAGACACGGUCCAGACUCCUAGGGAGCAGCAGUAAGAAUAUUGCCAAUGGAACGAAAGUCUGAGGCAGCAACGCCGCGUGCGCGAUGAAGG